rnacentral:tRNA from 1 species
GGAGAGGUGCCAGAGUGGCCGAUCGGGCUCGCUUGGAAAGCGAGUGUACCUUCGCGGGUACCGAGGGUUCGAAUCCCUCCUUCUCCG